GGCAUGGUUGUCGUCAGCUCGUGUCGUGAGAUGUUGGGUUAAGUCCCGCAACGAGCGCAACCCCUAUUGUUAGUUGCCAUCAUUCAGUUGGGCACUCUAGCGAGACUGCCGGUAAUAAACCGGAGGAAGGUGGGGAUGACGUCAAAUCAUCAUGCCCCUUAUGACCUGGGCUACACACGUGCUACAAUGGUUGGUACAACGAGUUGCGAGUCGGUGACGGCGAGCUAAUCUCUUAAAGCCAAUCUCAGUUCGGAUUGUAGGCUGCAACUCGCCUACAUGAAGUCGGAAUCGCUAGUAAUCGCGGAUCAGCACGCCGCGGUGAAUACGUUCCCGGGCCUU
rnacentral:rRNA from 1 species